CUUCCGCCUCCUCGAUGUGUGGUCACUUGUGCCAGUCAGCUCUUUUUUCUGAGGAUUCUGCACUUCUACAAGAGGCGCCUAUUCAGGGGGAGAAUGGGUCCUGUGAUCCCAACAGCCAGGUGCCUGGAUUCAGUAGCAUUCAAGGAUGUGGUGGUGGACUUCACCUCUGAAGAGUGGCAGCAACUGGGCCCUGCUCAGAGAGACUUUAUACAAAGAAGUGAUGCUGGAGAAUUAUAGGAAUCUUCUCUCCCUGGCAGGAUUCUGGUUUCCAAACCAGAUAUGAUCUUCCAAUUGGAGAGAGGAGAAGCCCCACAGGGUGCUGCAGGAUAAAGACUCUGCAUUCGCCUGUCUAGAGUUCCUUAGUCAAGAGACCAUGUAUGAAAGCAAUGGAGUCAGCUCCACAACGGGGCAUUUCUCAGGAGAGAAAUCAUCCAAAAGAAACUUAAGACAGAUGGGUCCCUGGGAUAACAAUUGAGAGAAGCCUGGGAGUGUGAUAUUAGAUUAGAGCAACAGAAAACUAACCAGAAAAGACAAUCUAAGCAACAGACAACUGUACACACAAAAACUUGUGCUAAGUUUAAUUCCAAUGAAUCUCAUAUAUUUGAAGUUUCAAUUUGGGGUCAAUCUUGUUCCAAAACAAGAAAUUCGUAAAGUAAAAAGGUUUCAGAAAUGUGGCACAUAUGGAAAAAAUUUCAAAAAGUGUAAGGAUUCAAGUAAAUAUGAUAGACUCUUUUCUAGGAAGAAGCUAUGCAGGAAGUCAUUGAGUUAUCCUUCAGACUUUCUUCAGCCUUAUAGAACGUGUACUAAAGAAAAACCAUAUGAAUGUGGGAAAGUCUCCAGAAAUAGUAAAUCUCAUAAAAAUUAUCAGAGAAAUUCAUAUUGGACAGAAAACCUAUAAAUGUUAUGAAUGUGGGAAAUCUUUUAGCGCAGGAACUACAUUACUAUACACCAAAGAAUUAAAUUACUGGAGAGAAACCCUUUAAUGCAAGGAAUUGUGUGAAUCCUUUACCUGGUAUAGAACAGCUUACCGAACAUAAGAGAGUUCAUUACUGGAGCAAAGAAGCCCUUUGAAUGUAAUCAAUGUGGUAAAUCCUUCAAUCUAAGUUCUGACCUUACUCGACAUGAGAAAAUUCAUACUGGAUAGAAACCCUUUGAAUGUUAUACAGUGGGGAAUCUUUUACCUGGCCAUCACAACUUACUGAACGUAAGAGAAUUCAUACUGGAGCAAAGAAACCCUUUGAAUGUAACUCAGUGUGGUUAAAGCUUUCAAUCGAAGUGCACACCUUAUUGUACACCAGAGAACUCAUACUGGAGAAAAACCCUUUGACUGUUAUGCUGUGGGAGAAGUCUUUCAGUCGUAGUGAGAACUUUACUCGACAUGAGAGAAUUCAUACUGGAGAGAAACCCUUUGAGUGCAAACAAUGUGGGAAAAACUUUAGCUGCCGAAGCUAUGUUAAAAUACACCAAGAAUUCACACAUGGAGAGAAGCCUUUUUAAUGUAAUGAAGUGGGCGAUCCUUUAAUCUGGCAUACUUAAUUUACUGACCAUGAUAGAAAUUCCUAUGAAGGUUACCCAUUUGAUUGUAGUAAAUGUGGGAAAUCUUUUAGCUAUAGAACACAGCUUACUGUAAAUAAAGAUUUGUACCAAAUAUAAGCCUUUGAAUGUAAUCAACGUGGGUAGGUU